rnacentral:rRNA from 1 species
GACGAACGCUGGCGGCGUGCCUAAUACAUGCAAGUCGAGCGAGCUUGCCUAGAUGAUUUUAGUGCUUGCACUAAAUGAAACUAGAUACAAGCGAGCGGCGGACGGGUGAGUAACACGUGGGUAACCUGCCCAAGAGACUGGGAUAACACCUGGAAACAGAUGCUAAUACCGGAUAACAACACUAGACGCAUGUCUAGAGUUUGAAAGAUGGUUCUGCUAUCACUCUUGGAUGGACCUGCGGUGCAUUAGCUAGUUGGUAAGGUAAAAGCCUACCAAGGCGACGAUCAGUAGCCGGUCUGAGAGGAUGAACGGCCACAUUGGGACUGAGACACGGCCCAG